rnacentral:lncRNA from 1 species
GUAUUUCAGUUAUUCCAAUCAAAUCUUAUUUCAUGAAAUUUUUGAAAUUUUUGCUUUCUCUGUAUAGUUGGUUGACAAAGUUGUACAUGUGAAUAUAACAUAUUAAACAAGUUAUAACACAUUAGUAGGCAUGUUGCAAUUCUAAUGAUUAAAAUUCACAGAAUGAAAAUUUGACCGUUUGAUGUGAUCAUUAUAGUGAAACAUGGCUAUGGUAUUAAUUUCAAUUGUAUUCGGCAACGUUCGGGGCUCAAUCGAAGUGGUCAACCCUAAUUCAUCGUCAUUUAUCACACGGAAACGCUCUUACCUACCUUUUUGUGACCUGGUUUGAUCGAUCCUUCCACACGUUAAACUCUCACAUAGAUGAGACGUAACCACCCAUGUAAAAAUUUGGAGACGUUUACGUCCCGACGAUAGGGCUCUCAUAGGAUAUAUUAAGCGUAAAAAUGGUUGACCGCUUCUAUCGGGACCUAGACGUUACCCGAUGUACGUGAUUUUUCAACCAUUAUCGUAUUUCAUUAUUUCGAUCACAUCUUAUUCCAUGAGUUUUUUUUAAAAUUUUUCUUUCUCUGUAUAGUUGGUUCACAAUGUUUUACACUUACAUAUAACCUAUUAAAUAUGUUAUAUCACAUUAGUAGGCACGUUGCAAUUCUAAUGACUAAAAUUUACAGAAUGAAAAUUCGAUCGUCUGAUGUGAUCAUUAUAGUGAAACAUGGCUAUGGUAUUAAAUUAAACUGUAUUCGGCAACGUUCGGGGCUCGAUCAAAGCGGUCAACCCUACUCCAUCGUCACUUAUCACACGGAAACGCUCUUAACUGCCUCUCUGUGACCAAAUUUGGUCGAUCCUUCCACACGUUAAACUCUCACAUAGAUGUAACGUAAUUACCCAUGUAAAAAUUUGGAGACGUUUACGUCCCGACGAUAGGGCUCCAUAGGUUAUAUUAAGCGUAAAAAUGGUUGACCGCUUCUAUCGGGACCCAGACGUUACCCGAUAUACGUGAUUUUUCAACCAUAGUCGUAUUUCAUUGUUCCGAUCACAUCUUAUUUCACAAAAAUUUUGAAAAUUUUGCUUUCUUUGUAUAAUUGGUUCACAAAGCUGUACACUUGCAUAUAUCAUACUAAAUAAGUUAUACCACAUUAGUAGGCAUGUGACUCUCCGAAGUUAUAAAUAUGUGAAAAUAAAAAUUCAACCGUUUGAUAUAGUCAUGGUAAUUAAACAGGUCUACUGAAAAAAAUCCAUCUCGUUUCGAAUACGUUAGGCCACCCAUUGAAUCGGUCAACUUAGUUCAACAUCAUUUUUUACACGAAACACGGUUAACUGACAUUGUGUGAAACCCUCUUUUUUCCUGUUUUCGAUCCUAAAACUCGUAUAUAUGAGAUUCAGGAAUCAAAGAAAUAUUUUUGUUAAAUUGGCCAUCAAGUGGUUAGGCUCUUAAAAACGCCUAAGCGUAACAAGGUUGACUAAU